rnacentral:piRNA from 1 species
GUAGAGACCGUUCACGGGUGCAGGAGA